rnacentral:tRNA from 1 species
GUUCUCGUGGUGUAGUGGUUAUCACAACUGCUUUACACGCAGUGGGUCCUCAGUUCAAUUCUGAGCGGGAACA